ACGUGCACGUAACAGCCUGGCAUGUCUCAGUUUAAGCUUUCUAUACGGGCGAAACUGCGAAUAGCUCAUUAAAACAGUUAUAGUUUAUUUGGUGGUCAGCAAUUACAUGGAUAACCGUGGUGAUUCUAGAGCUAAUACACGCGCCCAAACCCGACUUCGUGGAAGGGUUGGUUUAUUAGAUACAGAACCAACCCAGGCUCCGCCUGGCCUUGAGGUGAUUCAUAAUAACCGAACGAAUCGCAUGGCUAUGCCGGCGAUAGACCAUUCAAGUUUCUGACCUAUCAGCUAUCGUCGGUAGGGUAUUGGCCUACCGUGGCAAUGACGGGUAACGGAGAAUUAGGGUUCGAUUCCGGAGAGGGAGCCUGAGAAACGGCUACCACAUCUAAGGAAGGCAGCAGGCGCGCAAAUUACCCAAUCCUGACGCAGGGAGGUAGUGACAAGAAAUAACAAUACAGGGCAUACAUGUCUUGUAAUUGGAAUGAGUAAACUUUAAAUCACUU
rnacentral:rRNA from 1 species